rnacentral:rRNA from 1 species
AGUGAACGCUGGCGGUAGGCCUAACACAUGCCAGUCGAACGGCAGCACAGUAAGAGCUUGCCCUUACGGGUGGCGAGUGGCGGACGGGUGAGGAAUACAUCGGAAUCUACUUUUUCGUGGGGGAUAACGUAGGGAAACUUACGCUAAUACCGCAUACGACCUACGGGUGAAAGCAGGGGAUCUUCGGACCUUGCGCGAUUGAAUGAGCCGAUGUCGGAUUAGCUAGUUGGCGGGGUAAAGGCCCACCAAGGCGACGAUCCGUAGCUGGUCUGAGAGGAUGAUCAGCCACACUGGAACUGAGACACGGUCCAGACUCCUACGGGAGGCAGCAGUGGGGAAUAUUGGACAAUGGGCGCAAGCCUGAUCCAGCCAUACCGCGUGGGUGAAGAAGGCCUUCGGGUUGUAAAGCCCUUUUGUUGGGAAAGAAAAACAGCAGGUUAAUACCCCGCUGUUCUGACGGUACCCAAAGAAUAAGCACCGGCUAACUUCGUG